rnacentral:rRNA from 1 species
UACGUAGGGGCAAGCGUUGUCCGGAAUCAUUGGGCGUAAAGCGCGUGUAGGCGGUUCGGUAAGUCGGCUGUGAAAGUCCAGGGCUCAACCCUGGGAUGCCGGUCGAUACUGCCGGACUAGAGUUCGGAAGAGGCGAGUGGAAUUCCCGGUGUAGCGGUGAAAUGCGCAGAUAUCGGGAGGAACACCAAUGGCGAAGGCAGCUCGCUGGGACGUUACUGACGCUGAGACGGCGAAAGCGUGGGGAGCAAACAGG